rnacentral:lncRNA from 1 species
AUAUUUAUAGUUGAGAAAUGGGUAAAAGUGUAAUUAUAUAAAGUUUGGGGCCAAAUGGCCAUUUUUAAACCUCCAAACAGUCAAACUGUAGCCCAAACGACUACUUUUUAAAAUCUGUCCCGGGCUCACGGGCUAAAUUGUGCGUACCGGCCCGUCACGGGCUUAAGAGUAACACCAGGCCCAAGACCACCAGGACUGGCCCACCAGGCCCGUUAGGCCUGCCAGGACCAUGGGCCCGGUCCGGUUCAGGCCCGGGCCACAAUACAGGGUUACAGAGAUCUAGAAAGCAAAAUGACCGAGCUGGUCGUUACACGUAUGAUAUCGUUUUACUUUUUUUU